rnacentral:tmRNA from 1 species
GGGGAUGUAAAGGUUUCGACUGGGACUUUGAACGAAGAUAAGCGAGCGGAAGCGCAUAACUUCCUUAAAAUGUGCAACUUAAAAAUAAACGCUAACAGAAACAGCGAACUCGUAGCCGCCUAACCGGCUGCCGUCAUACCCGGAGGGACCGCGGGCCGGGAUAUGGCGUGACUCAGCGGUGAACGUGACCGGGAUUAAGCUUUGCGUCCCGGCAUGACAUAUAUGAAGCUACCCGGCGGGUUCCGCGCGGAUCCGGGAAACGUACGGGGAAUUGAAUGAUCCGCUGCGCUCGGAGAAAGUUUUCGGAAUGAAUUUCAGGACAGGGGUUCGAUUCCCCUCAUCUCCACCA